rnacentral:misc_RNA from 1 species
GAAAUGCGAUAAGUAAUGUGAAUUGCAGAAUUCAGCGAAUCAUCGAAUCUUUGAACGCACCUUGCGCUCCUUGGUAUUCCUUGGAGCAUGCCUGUUUGAGUAUCAUGAAAUCUUCAAAGUAAAUCUUUUGUUAACUCAAUUGGUUUCUACUUUGGUAUUGGAGGUCUUUGCAGCUUCACACCUGCUCCUCUUUGUUCAUUAGCUGGAUCUCAGUGUUAUGCUUGGUUCCACUCGGCGUGAUAAGUUAUCUAUCGCUGAGGACACUGUAAAAGGUGGCCAAGGUAAAUGCAGAUGAACCGCUUCUAAUAGUCCAUUGACUUGGACAAUACUUUUAUGAUCUGAUCUCAAAUCAGGUAGGACUACCCGCUGAACUUAAGC